AGUGAACGCUGGCGGCAUGCCUAACACAUGCAAGUCGAACGGCAGCACGGUAAGUUGCUGCUGUUGCCGAUUGCGGGAGGCGGGCGUGUUACAUAUGCAUAGGACCCUUCUUUUUCGAGGGCGAGAACGUAGGGAGAUUUAUACUACCUCCGAACUACACCUACGAGCGGGAGCAGUGGAUGCUUCGCGCUUUCGCGUUUGAAGGAGCCGAUGUCGGAUUAGCUAGUUGGCGGGGUAAAGGCCUACCAAGGCGACGAUCCGUAGCUGGUCUGAGAGGAUGACCAGCCACACUGGAACUGAGACACGGUCCAGACUCCUACGGGAGGCAGCAGUGGGGAAUAUUGGACAAUGGGCGAAAGCCUGAUCCAGCAAUGCCGCGUGUGUGAAGAAGGCCUUCGGGUUGUAAAGCACUUUUGUUGGGAAAGAAAAGCUGCGCUUUAAUACAGCCGGGUGAUGACGGUACCGAAAGAAUAAGCACCGGCUAACUACGUG
rnacentral:rRNA from 1 species